rnacentral:lncRNA from 1 species
UCUUCUGUUAUUUUGGGAUACAUGACAGUUGGCAUUUCAAGUACUCAAUUUUUUUUUUUCAGAAAAUUCUACUGUGAGAAAACCUUUUUUGUAGUAGUCACUUUGGGAGUAGAUCCUUAGGCCAUAAGAUAAACAAUACUUUCCCUUUAAAAACUGUUUGUAGUAAUUCUUCAAGAAUUUCAUACAAUGUAUUUUGAUCAUAGUCACUCUUCUUCCCAUUUCUAUCAGGUCCCUUCCUGUCCCUAGCCAUAUCUUUAUGUCCUCAUUUUUUUUUUUUUUUUUGGUUAACCAAUAAAGUCCAAUUUAUGCCACCCAUACACUACUAGGUAUGUGGUCAUCCACUAGAGCAUGGUCAAUGUACUAGGGGUCACAUUCUUAAAGGAAACUGACAUUCCCUGUUCCAGAAACUGGUAAUUGACAGCUUUUGUGGAAAUGACUUCCACUUAAUCAUAAUAUGUAUGUUGGUAUGUUUUUCUCCCUGAGAGGGAUGAUAUAAUCAUAAUCCAUACUCUGAGAUUUAGAACUGAAACUAAUAAAGUCAAUUAUUCGUGUGUAUUGAUUUCUUAAGAAGUAUAAAAACUUGAAGGUGGUUCUUGUUAUUAAAACAAUUUAUCUCCCAGGACUGUUAAAAUAAAGUAACAAUAACUAGGUGUCUUAAAACACAGAAAGGAUUGGUGAGACAUACCUUAGAUUCUAAGAGACCACAGAUGCCAGACUAUUUUCUCCAUAAAAACUUUCAAUCACCAUAAAUGAAGAAAAUAAGAUAUUACAUGAUAAAAUCAAAUUUAAGUAUCUAUCAACAAAUAUAUCCCUACAGAAGCUGCUAGAAAGAAAACUCCAACCCAAGGAGGUUAACUAUACCCAUGAAAACACAGGAAAUAAUCUCACACCAGAAAAACAAAAAGAAGAGAAAUACACACACACACACACACACACACACACACACACACACACACACACACAUGCUCACAUAUACACACAACACCAUCACCAUCACCAUCACCACCACCACCAAAAUAACAUUUAAUGUUUAUCUAUUUAGUUUAGGACUUCAACCAUCUUCAUAUAGUGGGUUGUGCAUUUCUUUUCUUGUGUUUCAACUAUGAACUAUUUAGAGUUGGCUUUGGUAGGAUAGCUGAGUUCUAUUGGAGACUCUAGUUGUUACUGUGUUCUUAUGCUGUCAUGUAGGCAUCUGAGUUUGCAUUGAUUAUAGGUGCUGAUUUCUGGGUUGUCUUUUGGGGUGGGUAUUUUCUUCCUUCAUUUCUAUUUCCUCUCUGGAUUUUCAGAGAACGUGAUGGCUGUUUAUUGCCUGUUUUGUUUGUUUGUUUGUUUGUCUGUUUUUUCUGUCCUCCUCAGCUGGUAUAUUCACACGGAAUGUCUACUUAUGUUGAAGGCUGAGAAGCAAAGAACACUCAUGGGAGGGAAAUUAGUAGGGGAUGGUCUGUGCGAUCCACAGGACAUGUGGGCAUGGAGGAAGGGAGGCUGCCGUAGGUGUUCUGUUGCAGCACUGGGGACUAGACUGAGGGUCUGGAGGCACAGAGUGUGAGAUAAGAAGGUCUGUGGGCAGCCUACCUGAGAAAUACUUACUACAUUUGUCCCUCUGUUUUAUUGUUUGUAAAUACAUAUAAUAAUGGGUGCUUCACAGGGCUUGUCAAGGUUAAAUUUAUUGAUGUUUAUUUUCUAACUUGCAAUAUACCUUUGAUACUUAUUAUAAAUUAUUUUGUAAUAUCUAAAGAAAUUUCCACCUAUGUUGGUGUCUAUAUAUCUUUCAAAGUUGAAAUUCCAAUUCAUUUGUAGGCUGUCGUUGUUCUGAAACAUCUCUUUCCAGGUUUCAUUAGGAAAAGAAACUCGAAGCCUAAUGUGGCAACUCACACCUCUGAUCCUAACCUGAGACACUUACAUGGGAGGUUUGGUUUGAGUUUAAGGCAAGCUUUACAGUAAGUUCAAGGGAAGCUUGGGCUCAUUAGCCAAUUGUUAUCUUGUGUGUGUAUGUGUGUGUGUAUGUGUGCAUGUGUGUUUCUAUUUUGUUGCAGUUUUGACAAGUAGAAGGUCCACCGUAAGGUGCUAAGUGGACUUUCUUGUUCAGUCAUCUUGUGGAAAGCAACAGGGACAAGAAUUACUUAAUAUUUUUCAAGAAUACUUUUGCAGAAAAAAAUUCAGGUUUCUCAAGGUAAUUUAUUAUUUUGUUUUGGAUUUUGCCUUUACACCUCCAAAGAUUUUUAUUUUUUUAAAAAUCCCUAAACAUUUAGCUGAUAAAAAUGUUAUCAAUUUUUUUUCUUUUUUAUACAUAGAUGUUACAACUUUCUGUCAUUUUCUAUAAGCAAUGAUUAAUAAAAUAGUGGCAUAAUUUAAUUUGGGAUAAUCUAAGUGUUUAAACCAUUGAUGGUGUAAAUAUAUAGAAAUAUAGAGGUAAGACAAACAUUUAUCCCUAUUUCUUAAUUAUGAUUUUUUCAAAUCUAUAGAAUUGUAACACUUUAAUUUUUAAUUUAAUUUAAUGCAUAUGAGUGUUAUCUCUACAUGUACAUCUGUGUACCAUGUGUAUGCAUGUAUGCCUGGUGCCAGGAUAGGGCACUAGAUCUAUAGACAGUCUGAGCCACUUGAUGUGAGUAAUGAGAAUAGAACCCAAGUCCUUUGCCAGAGCAGCUGGUGCUCUU